CAGAAUGUGGGAACAGUCAGCUGAUGUUGGUAGUCCAGGCUUCUAAUAGACCAAAAUGAAACAUGAAAACUGUUGAAUGGGGACAGAGAUUUGUUUAUUUUUAACUUUUUAACUAGGACUUACUUAUUUAUACUAUGAAGUUGUCUUAUUGUUAUUAUUGUUAACAUUGUUACGAUCGAACUAUGUUACUGGCACAUUGACACUUCGCUAUACCACACCGAGUAGCUACUAGCCGGCUAGCGACGACAUUCACCACAGACUCGCCGGCAGAGCGUCAGCGCCGCGCUCACAACGCCUCAGACGUUCUACCAAAAGGAGGCAGGUGUCAACAGCACAAGGAGAACAGGGCGGUGCGUCAUAACGGCUGUUGAAUCCCACAAGAGAAAAACCCCCUGCUUGAGUGCAGACCUCCGCCACUUCCAGACUCAUACAGGGGGAAGUAGGCCCACAGCGCUGCACCACUUUUUUCUGGGGCAGACGGAAUCAGUUCCAUGAUGAUUCAAAUGGCGAAAAAAUAGCAAAAAUAAACCAUCCCAUGAGGUCCAGCAACUUGGCCACUCCAUCACCUUCAGCUUUACCUUCCUCAGCAAGGCACUUCUUAUCUUAGAGGUGAGUUUGGAAAACUACCACGCGGCCCAUUUCCCCAAAAGACAUGCUAGAAAAUGAAGAAAUACUGUAAUGCACUUGGAAAUAAAUAAACACAAUUUCAUGGAACAAAUACUAAAAUUUAAGUUGUAAAUGUUGGUCAGUGCUGCUAAUAGUGUUCUCAGCACACCACUGGUUGCAACUUAGCCGUUUCUCUCUGCGUGCACACGUGACUGAAUAACAUGACGGCGUUAGUAUGAUUUGUUCGAAGGCGAUCCUCAUGACAUUUCUAACAUGUACGGUUAUAUUUACUUAGCUUGCUAAAUACAAGUUCAGUCAUUUACUGAACGAUUCGAUUUGUGACUGAGUUAUGUUGUUAUUGACAAAAGUAUUGGAAAACAUAUAUUGCGUUCAAGAAUGCAGUGAUAUCAAAAUGAAACGAAGUACUGUGAAACCUGGAUUAGAAGGUCCGAUUCCGCCGAAUCAAUUUUUCCCAUAAGAAAUAAUGUAAAUCCAAUUAUCCAAUUAAGGACACCCAAAAAUGUUAACGCAAAACACGUUUUUAUAGUUCUACAGUUACAGUUUAAGAUGCAGAAAAUACAGUAAUGUUAAAUCCAUAUAAAUGUUGAUUGAAAGGGAUAAAUAAAUAUUUAACAUGACUUUUAUCUAGCCUGAAAACUUGAUUGUUGACAAAUACGGCUAUGAUGCAGUGAGAGCCACUCAGCCACCACCUUUGUGUUUUGCUCGGAGUUAUUUCUUGAAUUCAAUAGUGUUUCUCACCUUCUUUAUCACAGCACUUGCAACUUUCUUUGGCUCCAUUGGGGAUUAUUUUGCAGCUGUGAUCAAUAAGAAAAGCAGAGACUUCAACUGUGUUAAUUAACAAGUAACUUCAGAGUAAACUGCUGAUGACGUCAUCGACGGGCGACAGAGCUGACUUUCGGUUCCGGGUUUUCAUGCUAACAGGGACAUUUUGUGAUAAAAAUACAUUAUGAACACAGUUGGACUCACCCAGUGUAUUAAUAACAAGACAAGACCCAUGCCAUAUUUUAUGCUAACCGAGAAAAGCACGCAAACCAAGGAAACAUUUUUGAAAACAUUUUCAAUGUAACUGAAAAAUACGCUAACUGGGCUGUAGGCUAAAUGAGGUUCAACUGUAAAUGUAAACCAGUAGUACGCAAUGAGGGCCAGCAAAGCCUCCUCUGCUGGCCUAACCAUUACCAGAAGACUGACCUAUAUUUCAAACUUAAAUUGUAGUAGUUGUUCUAUUAAAUUAUAUUCAUCUAUUCCAAACAGUCUGUUAUCUUCAUUUUGUAGAUUCUGUAGUUCUCCAGUGUGUUUCUGUGCUUCCAGUAGUGUACAGUACGUGUAUUGUUGAUGGUUUUUGUUUUUCUCCAAUCAGAUCUCAGGCUCUAUGUGUUUCCAUAUCAAUGUAAUUUCCCCACGGCCUUCAGAAUCAGGUUCCCGGACAUCCUGGCAAGAUCGACAGGUUGCCAUCACAUACACGCUAUUAGCAAUGGGGCUAUUUUUUUUUUUUUAGCCAAUCAGACUUCUGGUUCGACUUCUGAUUCGCCUCAAAGCCAGUAUGCAGGCUCCCAGUUCCCCCAUUGGUUGAUCAGAGCAAAGAGGCAGGCCCCCUGUAGGUUGAUCAGAGAAAAUUGUUCAACAAUAUAAGUUACGCCCAUCUGAAUGGCUUCAGAUGAUGUUAUGAUGUGUAGAUAGGCGGCGUUGUCUCAACCUUCAAUCAAUAAGCCAUUCUAUUUGUGCUCGUCUUGUGUGAACGCUAAGUUUACAGGCAACUGUGUACUGCCGAUCACGGUAGAAAUUAGUCAGUGACUCAAAGCUACCAGCAGUCAUGUAAGUCAGGCGUAAUAGUGACUGUGUAUCAGAAGAUAUGGGGAGUUAUAUUCGUAAAAUAUUAUAGUCGUGACUGUCAUGAUUUGCACACUGCUUGGUCUGCUUCCCUCUGCUGUAUUGUUGCAGCUCUGCAGAGGAACCUUCUACCAGCUGGUCUGAUAGCAUAGCUGCAGCACAUCAUUAAUCAAGCCCUUCUUAAGCCACGCUGUCUAGCUAGUAAUUAUCUUUUGCCAUUUUUCCUUGCUGCCAACUAUCACCUGUAAGUUGUUGAGCAUUUCCAGUCUUCUUUUCUUAGUUGCUAUUUUGUCUUUUUAUUUGUAAUUUGUUAGCUUCCUGGUGACCUUUUGUCACCGGCGUCUUUUGUUGUACAUUGUUUUUUCUCCUCUGUGACUUCCUUCUGUUGCCAUUAAUUUCGAUACCACUCCUGUUGUCUCUGCUCUGGGGUCCAAAAUGCCUGGCACUCGUGCCAGCAGCCUUAACAGCGACAAGAUCACCACAAUCGCAGCUACCUUACGUAAUGUGGUUCGUAACCCCGCCUGGCACAUCCGUCCAUUUUCUAUGCCGCCCAUCCUCACCAGCUGCGGGUAUGCUGGAGCCUAUCCCAGCUCACUUCGGGUGAGAGGCGAGGUAUACCCUGGACUGGUCGCCAGCCAAUCACAGAGCGCAUAUAGACAAGCAACCAUUCACUCUCACAUUCAUGCCUAUGGACAAUUUAGAGUCGCCAAUUAACCAUCUGUGCCCGGAGAAAACCCACGCACGGCGACAACAUGCAAACUCCACACAGAGAUGCCCGACGGAGAUUCCAACCCAGAUCUUCCUGAUCUCCUGAAUGUGUGGCCAACAUGCUAACCGCUAGGCCCAUAACUACUAUCAGUAUUGUAGUAUUUUUUUAUACUGGCUGGCAAAAACAAUUCUGGCCAGCCUACUGAACUGACGCUAACUGAUGCUGGGCAUCAAGAGGCUUCUAAGUUGCUCAGUUAUGUCCACUUGGGUGCUUGAGAUGUGUUUUUUAGCCAUCAGAAGUGGUUUUGUUACAGUAAUAGUAAAAAUGCACCUAAUUAAAAAGGCAAUGUUACACAAUGGUACGCAAAAUGGGGAACAGUGAUUUGCUGUAUAAGAGCCGUCUGCACAGUGUCACAGAUAAUUCCCAGAGCAAGGUGAAUCUUCGAGAAACAUCUCUAAUUGAAUGAAGCACAGUGGGAGGGAUGGCCAUCCAAUAAGAGCGGAUCAUGUGUGACUGGUCGUGUCCACUGAGAUGUUCAGGGCGAAAAAAAAGCGUGUACAAAGAAGAGCGGCGCAGGGCAGAGGUUAGCCUCCUCACGGCGUAAACAUGUGAAGGGUGAGAGGUGCGGCGCGGCAAACACACCAUGUGGAUUAAUGGGAUGACAUCUGCAGCCAGUGUGUUACUCAUGUGUGACUCCGACUGUGUGAGCCUGCUGGUGUGUGUCACGGCAUGUUGAUAGAAGCAGCGGUUUGCUUGAAGUCAGUCAACAUCAGUGUUUUUUGUUUUUUUUUUAAGUUUAAACACAAAGAAAAAACAAUAUUUUUUUAAGUCAUAGUAUUAUGAGAAACAAAACAAAAUAAAAUUGUAAUUUGGGGAAAAUUAGGUUGCAGAAAAGGUUAUAAUAUUAUGGGAACAAAGUAAACAUAUAAUGGGAAUUAAGUCAUAAUAUUUUGAGAAGAAAAUUUACAAGAAGAAAGUUGAAAAAGUUGUAAAAUUUAAAAAAGCUGAACAACAGAAAUGGAAAAAACAGAUGUCAUUUUACGAGAAUAAAGCCAAAAUGUUCAAGUCAAAAGAAAAAAGUUGAAAAACUGAAGAAAAGUUUGUUAUUUUUUAUAAUAUUAUGAGAUACAAAAAAAACAAAUUAAAUUUGUAAUUUUUUGAAAUAAUUUUCUAAACAUCAAUGCUUUUAUGACAAGUUAGUUUUCCUUCUUUGAUACAGAGAAAUAACCCCAGGAAAGAUGCGUGGAUGAAGUUGUGACUUGUAAAAAGCUUAGAACAUGUGCUGUUUUGACCUUGGACCUCAGCUAUCCCAGCCAUCUUGUGUGUGAUACCAUGGAAGAAACAAGAAUCGUGUUUGAUCUAUGAUAAAACAUGCCUGGUAGAACAGUGACACAGAACCUCAAUGCUCCUAAGGCAGUCAAGAACGUAUGUUCAUGUUCAAUCCCGUGUCAUGUGACAAAUCAUCAAAUGCCGUGCGUCGAGGAUCACCUGGAAAAGAAGACAUGUUGGCCAGUAGAUGACGUAUCGCCAUCGUAUGAGUCGCUCUGCUUGCGGCUGAGAGGCGGCGCGCCCUGGCAGUGUCCUUCGUUGGGGACGGAGAUAUCGAUGUUGCUCUUACUCAGUCUUUUGCUGGAACUCAGACCCGGGCUGGACUCUCCCAACAGACCCGAGUUUUCCUAAGAGUAAAAAAGAUAAGACCUAAUACUUAAAACAACUCUUUGGCUCAACCAUGGUGUUUUGGUGUAUUCAAACACUAAUUGAUUGAGGAGUUUGAGUUACAAAUUCGUAAUCACUCGAUCCGUGCUGUGUGAGCUCUCACCUUCAGACUUUCAGUGCUGUUAUUCAUUCUGCUGGUGUUAUUGUUGUUGUUGUUGGGGCUGCCAGGCCUUUGCUGACUGCUGAAGCACAAAGCAUCAAAACACAAGACACCUCCAACACAGUCUCCCAUCAGGCACACCUGCAGGGACACAUAUAUGAGACAGAUUGGGGAGGUCAUUCUGCAGAGGUAGAGAUAAAAUAGGGACAAGCAAGUUUCAUCUUAGCCAUUGUAGUGUUUUGUAAUGCUUGGGGGGGGAAAGCAAAGUUUAUUUGAAUGAGAUAAUUACAAUUAUAACUGUUAUUCCGUAAAGACAAAAACAACAAGCAAGUCAGUGCGCUUCGCGGCCAUAACAAAAGGCUCCCACUUUGUACUAUCUAGCCACUAUGGCCAUGUUGGCACAGAAAAGGAGAACUAAUCAAGAAUAACAGUCAUCGGUGAAGCUGUAAUUACCUUUAUUGUAAUUCCCUUAAUGGCCUUUAACCUGGAGGCCUUGAUUAUGUCUUUUGGCUGAUUCAUUUAUCAAGACUGUAUCGACCCAGAGCUCGUAAUCAAGUACCAUCAAGACCUGGAAGAGUCUGAGGAGGGUUUUUAAAAAAAAUAUUUUGAACAUUUGUGGCGAAACGACCUCUGGAUAACCCUUGAAAAUCAUGCUGUUCCUGGGCUAGCUUCCAAAGCACUUGUUAAAUACAGUGGAACAUCUGAGGUUGAAUAUAAUUUGCUUUGGAAUGCCGGUUGACCUUUGAUUUGUUCACAUUUAAGUAUUUUCUUCCAGAGGAAAACCCACUCAUUUUUGGUCUCGACAGUGCAACUGUUGUGACCAUCAUUAAGGAUGAAGAUUAUUGAAUGCUAAUGAAUUCUAAAGGGCUCAUGGAUUCGGUGCGCUUUUUCAAGGAAGACUGGGAGCAGAAGGAGGGUUUUCUUCCAGACUAACAAUAUUUUAAGAAGGUAUGACAACCACAAGGGUAUACUGUAAGUAAUUCUUGAAUUUGUUUUAUUACUGUAUUUUAUAGUUUUCCAGUUAGGAUUACCAAAAUGAUUUAUAUUUGCUAAAGGCUGCAUUUAUGAAUUAUGAUUUGUUUUAAAUUAAUUUCUUCAAAGUAAAAAAUGUACUGUACAUACCUUUCCUUAGUAUUUGGUAGCAUUGCCUUUAAACUGUAGGACUCGGGUGAAGUGUUUUCGGUAUCCUUCCACAAGGUUCUCACAAUAGUUUGUUGGAGUUAUGUCCCAUUCCUCCUUACAAAAGUAGUGUAGUUGCGUUAGGUCCGGAGGCCAUCUUGCUCGCACACGCUUUUCAAAAUGUUGUAUGGGAUUUAGAUCAGGGCUUUGUGAUAGCCACUAGAAAACACCGACUUUGUUGUCCUUAAGCCACUUUGUGACUGUUUUUGGCUGCAUGCGUAAAAUCAUUGUCCAUUUGGAAGACGCAUUUGCCGCCAAGCUUCACUUCCUGGCUGAUGGCUUGAGAUGUUGCAUCAAUAUUUCCACAUAAUGUGCUUUCUUCAUGAUGCCAUCUAUUUUGUGAAGUGCACCAGAUCCUUGUGCAGCAAAACAGACCCACAACGUGAUACUUCCACAACCAAUACUUCACAGUUGAGACGGUGUUUUCAGGUGUACAACAGUGCUCCUUUUCCCUUCAACCAGUUACAUUUUAGUUUAGUAAAAUGUGAAUGUUUGUCCCCGUGUAUGUUUGCAAACUGUAAUCUGGCUUUUUACGCUGGGUUUGGAUUAAUGGCUUCUUCUUGGAAGAGCGGUCUUUUAGCCUUUUGUUAGUACAAGACUUGUUCGACUGUAGAUAAUGACACUCUUACCAGCUUCAGCCAUCAUCUUCACAAGGUUUUUAGCUUUGGUUCUGGGGUUGAUUUGCAUACUUGGACCAAAAUAUGUUCAUUUCUUGGACACGCCGUCCCCUUCCGGUUCCCAUGUUUUUUAUACUUGCGGAUUAUUGUUUGAACAACGAGUGGGCACCUUCACGCAUCUGCACCCAAGGACGAACCAAACUUGUGGAGCUCACAAUUAUUCUCCUGGUGUGCCUGCUGAUUUUCUCAUCAUGUCAUAAAAUGAAACAGUGUGUUGGAGGUGUUGCCUUAAAAUACAUGCACAGGUGUGCCUCCAAAUAACACAUAUGUUGUCAGUGAACCUAUCAGUAGCUUCCAAAGCCAUAUCAUUAUCAUGUGGGCUUUUUCACAUUGUUUAAAGACGACAGAGUCAUCUUUGUGUAUGGAAUCUUUUGACUUUAAAAAAGUAAUUUAAAAAAUGCCUAAAAUAUUCUCUCUCUCAUAAUUGCAGCACUUACCAAAUAUAAAUAAUUUUGGUAACCCAAACGGGCCAAAAACUGAAAAAAUGUUGUCUGAUUUAAUUUCAGACAGUGAGGGAAAAAAAUGUGUUUUUACAGUGUAUGUAAACUUCUGGUUUCAACUGUAUAUGUCCUUGCUGUGUUCUGUGUACAGUAUGAGUAACUUACGUAGGAGUUCAUCGAGGUAGAAUUUAUGUGUAAAUUCUGAUUUACUCUAAAGCUCGAUCUACAUCACAGUCUAGGAACGGAACUGCUUCGUAACCCGAGGACCACCUGUAUUAACUUAGUAGUCCGUUUUAAAAGAAGCUCUAGAAUGUAAAAACAAUGAAACUCUCACCCUUCAUCGCAAGCGCCCAGUUUCCCCAUGUUCUGAUUCACAAUGUCGCAGUACAUGUUAGAAUUCAUGUUUCUCUCAAUGAACCACAGUUCCCCGGUGCUGGUAGCACUCAUGCAACCCAGGGCCAUGCUUUUAGUAGGCGAUUGGAUAUUGAAAUCAAUAUUGUCUCUAUCAUACAUAAUUUAUAACUAAUCCUGUUAAAUUAUGACUUAUUUCCUCAAAGAUAAUGACUACAUGAGGUCUACUGUUAGGCACAAGAGAGGAAAGUAAGUCCUUCUUGAACAAAAGGGCUCCUAGAGUGUACACAGACUACACAGCUCUCACUAAAGCAAUCUUCCCUCCCUCCCACAAAUCCACUGACUUCUAUUAAACUGCCUCCGACUCAAUGAGUGGAGCAGCUCAAACAGCGACACAAUGACACACACACACACACACACACACACACACCUGACCCGAGAAGCCCUGGCCGUCCUCAGAGUGCAGGAAGCUGCGGUAGACCUGGUUGGCCCGGGCUAUGACUGUCGCCACGGCAUCCUGGUAGCGUGGUGAAACGAUGGCAAGGAGCGGGAGGGCGGCCAGCGGCAAGUGGUCGACACUGCUGGACACACAGCUCUCGUCGUAGCUGUAAGGGUUCAAACUGAAACAUGGGGGAAGGAGAGUAUUGAGAAAUAACAGUCAGUAGUUGUGUAUAGUGCAAAAAAGGAAAUGUUCUGAUGGAUGAAUGGACAAAAAUUCCCACACACAUACUCCCAACACCUUGUAGAAAGUCUUGUGAUGAAUAGUGGACGCUGUUAUAGUCGCACAAGUAGGAACAACCCCAUAUGCUCUUCCAUGUUCACUUCCUGUGUACCCAUCCUGUGCCUUUGUAGUGUACAUAAAGGGAAUAGAUUUGCUGUCACCGGUGAGCGUCUGCAUAUGUGUGGGUGUGUAUGCGUUUCAACAGCUGCGUUGACUAGAAUAGAUGCGUGUCACUGCAACAGUGUGAGGAAGCAGUAAAAGAUGAUAUCGCCCUACAUUCUCCCCUUGAGCAGCAGCACCGACACUGUCGCCAUCCAUUAGUCGCUCUGAUUACAAGGAGGUUCAGCAACGCCAAGCACAAGGCUGCAACGUGUCGGCGGGCGAGGCACACAACCUCUGUGCAGCAAUCUACAAGCGUUUACAGGUUACUGUUCACUGUUAACCCUGUUCAUGUUAUUGUUUUUUUUUUACCAUUUAAUUAUUUGUCUACAUUUAAAGCCAAUUAAAUAUGUAUUUAAAAUAUGGAUGAAUUCAUACAAUUCUGAAAUAAUAUCUUAAUUUUCCAUAGCGCUUGUCCUCACUGCUGGAGCUGUCUUCGGGUGAGAGGUGGGGUACACCCUGGACUGGUCGCCGGCCAAUCGCAGGGCACAUAGAGGGGGUAUUGCGAAAGUGGCUCUACCAACCCAGGCUUUGUGCUCAAGAUGCAGCUCAACAAAACCCAAGGUUGGUUUGGACUUUGUGUUGUUUUUUGUGCACUCAUUGUGUGUUUGUUUGGCUGGACAACCUGAGUGCUGAGUAGGGCCGUGGCAAGGAGACACACCUGUGGCAGAUUGGCAAUCAGGCCAGCUGUUUGGAGGAGGAUGGAAAGUAGUUUAUCAGCACGUGCGAGUGCUUCGACGCCUUCAUAUUUACAAGUACAGUGUAAAGUAGAAUCAUUGAUAACAGCCUUAGCAAAUGCCAGCAAGUGCUCCAUUUUAGACGUGAAUGAAAAUACAGUGAUUAUUAUUAAACAUGUAUUUCAAAAAUAUACUAUUUCUCAAUUAUGCAAACACAAAAAGACGUCCACCAUAAACCUUAUGAAGAACACAAAUAGAUUAGGAUAUCAUUAAACUACGAAAGGCAAGCACGAUCGGGAAGGAGCUCCAGGAGAGCCAGACAUGUACCACCACGGAACAUAACUGAUGGCCUCCAAACCUUCUCCUCAUUCGGUUUCCUGCACCUCAUCAUUAUUUCACCUGCCCUCUAGCUUGAAACUGUACAGGAUGCUACAUGUUAUGCAUCAUGUCAUACAUGUGAUCAAAUAAUACACAUAGUAAAACUUAUAAAUACUAUGGAAGUAUAGUCGAGGUAGUCAAAUGAUGUGAUGUUCAGAGUGUUGUACAAAUGAACAAAGUAGGCAAAAAGUAAUAAAUAAUUAAAGUAGCUAUUCAUAUUACUAUUGUUUAAUAUAUCAGGUUUAGCGCUCAGCUGGAGGUAAUUUUGCUGACGGAGGACGCCUCAGUUUCUCCAGCAGGUGAUUUGAUUGAUGAGCGCCUUCCCUCAAAUUGAAGGAGGUGAUGAUCAUUAAAAUCACCUGCCUUGGUGACCGGCUGGAAAGAAAACCUGCAGUGUCUCGGCCCCCCAUGGCACGUGUUUGACACCCCUGGUCUAAAUUCACAAAGGCUGGUCGUGGCUGGAGGAGGAGCCGAACGUCCGUGGAGGCUACUGGCCUUGUCGGCUGCACACCUUUAAAUUGGACACAGCCAGUGAUUCUGUUGCGCUCUGGCAUCCUCCGUGUCUCCAUGGGCCUACUGACUUUUUUGUGCUAAAACCCUACUUUGUUUGAUGAUCAAGCCUUUUUGCAUCGCCCUUAGUUUUGCUAUACCGUACAUUUUUACUAGAAUUUUGCUACGCCUUGUGUUUGAGACUUUCCUUUCAAUUUUUGGACUGCGCAGCACUACGCUUUAUGUUGUACUUUGGUUUUUGCCCCUGUGAACUCAAUAAAGACUUUGUUUUGGCUGCACACACGACUGGCUCAAAUUUUGGGAUCCUAUCUGCACUGAAUAUAACAUUCUGGUAAUGGUAAUUGUUUAAUUCAUCCUGAACAUGCAUAAGAGUCACAAUGGAGCACAUCACAUAGUACAAUUCACAAUUUUGCAUGUCCAAAAAGGAGUAGGAAGAAGCACGGCUUAUUUAUUCCUACCACUCAUCAGUGUCACAUCAGCUUCAAUACAUUUAUUCACCCCUUGUUUUCCAAAUGUACUUCGUAAGGCUACAUAACAAUAUAGUGCAAUGACAGUCAAGGUUUAUACUUACUGAAAGGAAGCUACAGACUUAAUGAUGAUAACUGAUGAAAUGGUUGACAGAAUCGUAGCUUUAUAAUGAGUGAGUACAGACCAUGUACUCACCAGAUUGAAGAGUUAGUCGUCAGUGUGGUAGUGGUUAGAUAUAGUAUUGUAUGUUCACAGUGGUUCAGGUCUCUUCUUCUUUGUAUUUUGAAAACAUCUACCGCUCGUACUUUUUCUUGAAAUCACUCAUCGUUUGAGUUUCUUACUCAACCCGUUCCACAACUUGAUUCGACAUCCAGGUUUCAUUUUCUCCUAAGAUCAUACUUCUCCUCUCUUGUUGAUAAGAAUUGUUUUUCAUUUUUGGGUAGAAGUUUAUUGAGGUUAAGGCUGUUUGCUUUAUGUAUAAUUUUCGCGUUUGAAAGUUUACUAAAUCCGCAAAUUUUAAAAAUUGUGAUUUUGUCAAUAAAGAGUGUGUGUGUUCUCUGUAAGCGGCAUUAUGGAUUAUCGUAAGUGACCUUUUUUGUAGCACAGUUAGUGAGUGAACUGCACUUUUGUAAUUAUUAACCCAUAACUUCGUACAAUAAAUGAGAUAUGGUCAUAUCAGUGAACAGUAGGGCAUAUGCAGUCCUUUUUGGUCAAGAACAAAUUUUGCUUUGUUCAGUAUUGAGGUGUUUCUUGCCACUUUAUGUUGUACAUUUUUAAUGUGAGAUUUCCAGUUCAUUUCUCAUCUAUUAUAACCCUGAGAAAUUUAUUUUCGUUGACCCUGUCAUUGUCUACACCAGGGGUCACCAACGUGGUGCCCGCGGGCACCAGGUAGCCCCCCACGACCACAUGAGGCGCCCGCAAGCCUGCUUUUCUUUCAGGUUUUCAGUUAAUAAGGAAAGAACAGUAGAAAGAAAUGCAUUUUGAAAUACAAAAUGUGAGUUGUGGACACCAGCAUUUUGUUAUUGUUCUGGUAAAACAAGCAUAUUCGCUUUGUUUGGGUUUAAAAUAAGCUCUGAAAAUAAAUGUUACAAAAAUGAGUAGCUCUUGGCCAUUUAGCUCUCACAAGGAAAAACGUUGGUGACCCCUGGUCUACACCAUCAAUUUGUAUUUUCUCAUACGCUUCCUUUUUGCACUUAUCAAAUAGCAUUACUUUAGUUUUACUUGGGUUCAGGGAUAGUCUGUUUUUAUCAAACCAUCUUUUUGGUAUAGUUCAUCUGUGAUUUUUUUUUUUUUUACUAGCUCUGGUGUGCUGUCUCCAGAACAAAAUGCGGUUGUGUUGUCUGCAAAUAAUACUAGCUUUAGGUCUUUCGGGACUUUACAGAUGUGGUUUAUAUAGAUUGAACAGUUUUGGUCCUAGGAUUGACCACUGGAGUACGCCGCAUGAUAUAUUUAACCUUGUGGAUGUAUAUUCUACGAGCUUCACAUAUUGCCUCCUGUCCGCUAAGUAGCUUUUAACCCAGUUCAAGACUAACCAUCUGAUUCCAUACCUUUCUAGUUUUGUGAUUAGAAGAUCAUGAUUAAUUGUGUCGAAGGCUUUUGUUAAAUAAAUACUGCAACUGCACUCUUUCUGCGAUCUAUAGCAUUGGUAAUUUUAAAAAUUGGAACUACUUAAGCUAUUUUCCUUUUGUUUGGGAAUUUACCAGUCUGCAAUGACAGGUUACUAAGGUACGUUAGCGGUUGUGCAAUCUCAUUUAUAACCCUUUUCACCGUUUCUAUAUCUAUUCCGUUGCAAUCGGUUUCGGUUUUUGCUUUAAACUGAUUAACAAUAUUGAUGAUUUCCUUUUCUGUAACGUUAGUGAGGAACAUGGAAUUGGGAUUCCUGUCUAUAAUUUCAUUCCUUUCCUCUACAAGUGGGUAAUUUGGGAUCUUUGUUUCCAGUUCCGGUCCAAUAUUUAUGAAGUAGUUAUUGAACUUUCAACUACCUCGUUCAUAUUGUCAUAUUUGAAAUAAUGAGGGUAGUCUGCUUUCUUAACACCAUUCCGUAGAAUACUGUUUAGGAUGCCCCAUGUUGCUCUAAAGUUGUUUUUGUUCUUGUUUAAUAAUUGACUAUAAUAUUCUUUCCUACACCCUCUCAAAAUGUUUCACUUAAUUUUGUAUAUUUUACACGUUUUUUUCUGCUUCUUUAGUUUUUUUAAUUACAAAUCCCCGAUAUAGUGUAUUUUUCUUCCUACAGGCAUUUUGUAGUCCUUUUGUCAUCCACGGCUGAUUUCUCUUCUUUUGCUUAUUAGAUACUUCUCUCAGUGGACAACGUCUGUCGUAGCACUUCAUAUAAAUAUUAAGAAAGUUUUUAUCUGCCUCGUUCACAUCAUUCUCGCUAUAUACGCACUCCCAUCUUUGUUUUUCCAAAUCUUUCCUAAAUACUUUCCUCUGUAUGUGAUCUUUUGAGUGUCCUGAUAUUGUCCCUAUUUCUCGUUUUACAGUUUUGAUUGUAAAUCGUAAACACCGGCAGAUGGUCGGUAAUGUCAUUCAUUAGCAGUCCACUUGUUGUGUUGUUAUCAAAAUCAUUGGUGAAUAUAUUAUCAAUUCAUGUUGCGCAGUGAUCUGGAAUUCUACUUGGUCUGGUGAUUUUAGGAUAAAGACUUAAACUGUGCGUUGUAUGUAUAACGUCAUCUAUUCUGUUUUGCUUAUAUGACUUCAGAAGGUCAAUGUGGAAAUCUUCAAUGCUAGACUUAGGCGUUCUAUAUAUACAACUCGUUUUUACUUUUGUCUUUACUGAUUUCAAUAGUUAUGCAUUCUAAAAUGUUAUCAACAGCAAAUGACACGUUUUUACCACUUUCUAUUUCAGAUGUUUAUCCACAUACAGUACACAGCCACUCCUCCUCCACUUUUGUUGUUCCUAUUGACGCAGUUCAUGUCAUAGCCUCCCAAAGGAAAAAAAUGUGGAAAUCAUCCAAGAAAAUAUUAUUUUUUCCCCGCAUCCAUUCAUUUUCUAUACCGGUUUUCCUCAUUAGGGUCACGGGCAUGCUGGACCCCAUCCCAGCUGACUUUGGGUGAGAGGCGGGGUACACCCUAGACUGGCUGCCAGUGAAUUACAGCGCACCUAUAGACAAAAAAAGCGUUCACACUCACAUUCACACAUGUGUAUGUUUUUGGAAUGUGGGAGGGAAGCCACACUCAUGCAAACUCCACACAAAGAUGCACAAAUGGAAAUUAAAGCCUUCAAUCUCCUGACAGUGAAUCCGUGCUCACAACAAGGCUACCGUGCAGCCCCAAUACUACUUUUAACUUUAGUAAUUUUUUUCCAAAUGUACAGUAUUUCAAAAUCUUUAUACGGUACGUAUAAGUACUGAUAUAUCAGUAUAAUAUUAUUUUAUUUCAUAAUCUACUUUUGUAAUUAUAACUGUUAUUAUAAUGUAGGUAAUAAUCAUCAUUACUUGCCUUGCUAAUUGUCUGGGAGAAAUCACAUGGUUCUACUGGUGUACAGAGAGGCAUGGUGUCCAUAUUUAAACUCUCCGUGCCUUGUAAAAAUUGACACGUUCUAUAUUUGUUCAUUGGAAUUACAUUAUGAAGGAAAAAUGUCAACGUGGAGGGACAGUGCAUCAGUAUGAUGCAUUGCAGUUCUAUGCCACUGUAGAAAACAACCGUGAUAACAAGCAUAUUAAAUUCAUACCGCUCUGUUUCUAUGCCGGAUGCCCUUCCUGACACAACCCUGCCGUUUACCAAUAUGCAGUGGCCUGUGGGGUCUCGGACUGUUUGGGUCUCCAGCCAUAAAAAUGACUUUGAGUGGUACCCAGCACACUGCUGCAUUAGAGAUAAACGCUAGUAAUCGUGUGGUCCAUUCCAAGUACUACAGAAAGACAAAUGGGAAAGGAAAUGUUGCGCAAUUGCACCUUUUUUCCCAUGAGAUUAAAAAAAAAAAACGUUUCAGAAGGUCCAAUGGUGAGAAUGAAGUGAAGGUCGUGGUUGUUUGCUAUGGAGGAGAACUCAGUAAGGCAGGGGAAUUUACAAAGUGCUUCAGUGGAAGGAUGCCACAAAGAAUUGUGUUAUCCAACUUUAGUAGACGUCCUGUACAUUAAUACAGAUUUACACGUACCCUACAGGAGGUUACAUUUUAAAAGAGGUUCAGUAUUUGCUUCCAUCUUAAACUAGCAGCAAUGGACUAAAACUAAAGUUAGAAAGUCUCAUGGCUGUAUCUUGGUUUUACUUUUUUAUUGUUUCCUAAAUGCUAAAUGAAUUAGGACGUUAAACUUUUCCACUGUGGAGCAUUUAUGCGAGACCGAAAAUGAAAAUUAAUCGCUAUUCCAAUGUCCAAUGCAGAAAAGGACAUUCAUUAAGCUGUUCCAAAAGUUGCUGUAAAUUCCAUGCGCAAAAAAACAAUUAACAGCACAAUCACAAAUGAAUGUAGAAAAAAAAGCAGUUGUCAGUCGCUAUUUGUAACCCGUCACUAUCACUUCAAUUGCCAAAGCAAGCAAUUGUAUCCGACGUUUUACUGCAUGUAAACCCACAGAAAAGUGGCAGCUCAUCUCCCAGUGGACCAGUUAACAAGAACACGCAGCUGUGAGCAGAAGCGCGGCCCACGAUGCGUCUCUGAUGUGCAGCUGUCUGCAUGCAGACCGCAUCGGAAGCCUCUUGAGAUGCAUUUUGACUCAUCCUCUCCAGGGUCGCUUUGUGAGAGAUUGCGUUCUUUCAAGAGCGACCCAGGCAGGCUUGUAAGGUAACAGUCAGCAUGGGGAGACUGCGGAAUAUAUUAGAUGAUCACCUAGAUGAGUGCGGCACUGCAACAGUCAAGUGCUGUAUUAAAGUAUUUUGGCUGGAAAGCUUUUCUUUUGGGUUUGACAUAAAGGUGACAACAAUCCCUGUUGACACAUAGCAGCAAAAACAACGGAAAUUACAAUUCCAUUUGCUGGGCCAGUGCAUGGCAAUGCCACUUUGCAAAGAAACACUCGAAAAUGAAUAAUCUGACAUAUGUAAGAAUUUCUGUAUAGUAAAUGUGCACUUCGCUGAAGACAGCACUACAUCCCGCCAUUGUUAUCUGGGUUGUGAUUUGCUAUCGCUGUCAACUCUACCUUUUUUCUCAUUUUCAUGGUUUACAACUACAACGCUCAUACAAAUCAAAAACACCCACGACAAGAAGAACUCCAAUUACUAUUCAGAGCACUCCGUUCCACUUCUGAACAGAGUUCACAAGUCACAGGACAGAAGCAGCUUGCUGCACUGUUCAACAACUGUCAGGUAAGACUCUCGUCAUUUGCAAAGAAUAAUGAGCUGAUUAUGCAAGUGCUUGUUUGCACUACUGUUGUACUACAAGAGAUGUGGCAUCAUCAUUUACAUCCAAAUGAUUUCACAGGAACAAUGUUUUGGAUUUGUCCACGUGUGCAUCUGAAUGCAACAUUUGACAGAUCUGAAAGAUGUGUCAGUAUCUCACAAAACAUUUCAGAAAGCAUUUUCAUUACAGUAUCCAGUCGUCCUUCGCCACUUUGCGGUUCAAAUUUCACAGCUUCACUUUAUCACGGUUUUUCAAAAUAAAUUACAACCUAUUAUUAG